rnacentral:rRNA from 1 species
AGAGUUUGAUCCUGGCUCAGAACGAACGCUGGCGGCAUGCCUAACACAUGCAAGUCGAACGAUGCUUUCGGGCAUAGUGGCGCACGGGUGCGUAACGCGUGGGAAUCUGCCCUCAGGUUCGGAAUAACAGUUGGAAACGACUGCUAAUACCGGAUGAUGACGUUAAGUCCAAAGAUUUAUCGCCUGAGGAUGAGCCCGCGUAGGAUUAGCUAGUUGGUGUGGUAAGAGCGCACCAAGGCGACGAUCCUUAGCUGGUCUGAGAGGAUGAUCAGCCACACUGGGACUGAGACACGGCCCAGACUCCUACGGGAGGCAGCAGUGGGGAAUAUUGGACAAUGGGCGCAAGCCUGAUCCAGCAAUGCCGCGUGAGUGAUGAAGGCCUUAGGGUUGUAAAGCUCUUUACCCGGGAUGAUAAUGACAGUACCGGGAGAAUAAGCUCCGGCUAACUCCGUG